ensembl:lncRNA novel transcript
CUUCCUGGCUGAGGAGUGGUUCCAGCGGAGCAGGCUCUUCCACCUCCUUCAGCUCCCCCAGUGACACCGGAUCUAGGAAAGGUUGUGCCUUUUGCUGAAAGUCUGGGGUUGACGGGAGCUCAUCUAACAGGCUGGAGAAAACGAGAGCGAAACUACAGAGAAAAGAAACGUCCCGUGCAUCACGGCCUGACCACGGAUUCCUGUUUCCUGCAACAAGGGAAGUCUCCACUGUGGCCUGUUUGGAAACUGGAAAGGAGAGCGAAGACAGGAUGCUGCUUUUCCACGCUUCGCUGGAGGUUUCUGGGUCCCCACAGAGCUCGGGAAACAGUCAACAUGGUCACGCUUUUGGGGGCCGGAGACACGUGAACAACAGGCCCCCUUGCAGAGGGCAAAGGAACGUGGAACCCAGAAUCAUGGUUCACUCGGUCUGAGUGUGACUCUUGAAUGGACGGGACUAUCCACCUCGCGCUCUGUUGCAGGCUCAACGUGGGGCUAUGUCAUCUGUGAACCAUGUGGAUGAAAAACGGACAAUCACCCGAGUCUCAGCUCACUGCUCUCUGGGCAAUUCGCUCAUUCCUUGGGAGGCGGAAUUCGUCUGAAUCGCUCCGGGAUGAAGUGACCCAGGCUGGCGAUCCGGAGGGCCCGUGCGCGCCCCGCAGGCAGACGUGGCUGUGGGCCGAGCACUCAGCCUGCACUGGGCACCCAACAUUUUCCCGGAGUGCGAGGUCCUGCUGGUCCUGGAGGCAGAAGACCGCUUUUCUCUCUGCCUUCUUCUCUCUGUCUCUUGCUCCCUUUCUCUCUCUGUCCUUCCCUUCCUCCCUCCCCCCCCACCUCCCUUCCUCCCCCUCCCUACUUUCUCCUUUCCAAUAUCCCUCUGUCCAUCUGUCCUUUUCUCGCUCCAUUCCUCCCUUUCUCUCUGUUUCUGUUCCUCUCCCCAUCUCUAUUUUUCAACAUUAUAUGAUCCCAUUGUGUGUAUCUGUGUUAACAUUUUUAGCAAUAAAGUUCAUUUUCAUUAAGAUA